AUCAAGGCUGGCCACAGAAUUGUAAGUCACCCAGAGGUACUGGAGCUCCACCAGGUAGUAGAAGGCCUGUGCAGGGAUCCUGCGGAUGACAGUCUUCUCUAGACGUAGCUUCACAGUGUCCACAGUUUCUUCCAGGAGCCAGUGGAUUUUGAGAUAUAUCCAUUGGUAAAAUACUCAUCACGGGCAUUGCUUGGUGAGUCUGACAUUUGAACAUGGCAAACAUUGCCUUCCGAAAUCUAUAGUAAGAAAGGGGAAAUCUGGCGUUAUCCUAUAAUGACUUGGAACUCUUAAAGCAUUUUCGAAUAUGGCUAAGACACCUCUAUUGCUAACUGACAUCUCCAAAUAA